AUUGAACGCUGGCGGCAGGCCUAACACAUGCAAGUCGAGCGGAUGAAGGGAGCUUGCUCCUGGAUUCAGCGGCGGACGGGUGAGUAAUGCCUAGGAAUCUGCCUGGUAGUGGGGGAUAACGUCCGGAAACGGGCGCUAAUACCGCAUACGUCCUGAGGGAGAAAGUGGGGGAUCUUCGGACCUCACGCUAUCAGAUGAGCCUAGGUCGGAUUAGCUAGUUGGUGGGGUAAAGGCCUACCAAGGCGACGAUCCGUAACUGGUCUGAGAGGAUGAUCAGUCACACUGGAACUGAGACACGGUCCAGACUCCUACGGGAGGCAGCAGUGGGGAGUAUUGGACAAUGGGCGAAAGCCUGAUCCAGCCAUGCCGCGUGUUUGAAGAAGGUCUUCGGAUUGUAAAGCACUUUAAGUUGGGAGGAAGGGCAGUAAGUUAAUACCUUGCUGUUUUGACGUUACCAACAGAAUAAGCACCGGCUAACUUCGUG
rnacentral:rRNA from 1 species